rnacentral:rRNA from 1 species
CCAGACUCCUACGGGAGGCAGCAGUGAGGAAUAUUGGUCAAUGGGCGAGAGCCUGAACCAGCCAAGUCGCGUGAAGGACGACGGUUCUAUGGAUUGUAAACUUCUUUUGUAGAGGAAUAAUGGCAGCUACGCGUAGCUGAGAUGCAUGUACUCUACGAAUAAGUAUCGGCUAACUCCGUGCCAGCAGCCGCGGUAAUACGGAGGAUACGAGCGUUAUCCGGAAUUAUUGGGUUUAAAGGGUGCGUAGGUGGCGUAUUAAGUCAGUGGUGAAAAGCUGCAGCUCAACUGUAGUCUUGCCGUUGAAACUGAUAUGCUAGAGAGGAGACGAGGUAUGCGGAAUGUGUGGUGUAGCGGUGAAAUGCAUAGAUAUCACACAGAACGCCGAUUGCGAAGGCAGCGUACCAGGCUCCGUCUGACACUGAAGCACGAAAGCGUGGGGAUCAAACAGGAUUAGAUACCCUGGUAGUCCACGCAGUAAACGAUGAAUACUAGAUUUUUGCGAUAUAGUGUAAGAGUCUAAGCGAAAGCGAUAAGUAUUCCACCUGGGGAGUACGCCGGCAACGGUGAAACUCAAAGGAAUUGACGGGGGCCCGCACAAGAAGGGCGAAUU